AUUUCACUUUCAGCUGCAACGUCGUCUCUUGGAGCUGCUGUGUCUUCUGAUGGAGGCCCUGCUGUACCAACUGCAAAGCUUUUCUUCUCCGCCAUUGUUUUCCUGUUACUAUUGUACUGGUAUUAGGUGGCAUUCACAUCUGAGCGUUUUACAGCUCUGGGUGUUUUUGUUUAGCCAAUAGGAAGCACUAGGUGGAGGAGAGGGGGAGGAGAUUAGGGAUGGAGAACUGCUGUUUAAGCAGAAAACGAGUGACAAAACGCUCAUAAAGCGUUCAUGUUGCACAUUUGCAGGCGUUCUCUUUAGAAGUCUAUGGGGCCCAGUCUACCAAAAAUAAGCUUGUGUACUUUUUUGAGCGAUGGGCAUUUUGCUUUUGGGCGACAAAACGCUAAGAUGUGAACAGGGGCCAUUGAAAUUAAUGGGAUUUGCCUUGUUGAGCAUUUUAGAGCUUCAAGCAGAAAAUCGCACAGGUAUGAACAGGGCCUAUCAUACUGACUUACCAGUGUGAAUUGGUAUCAGAUUUGCAGAUCGGUGUAACUAUACAUAUUGGGGAAGGGUUCUAUAAUCACUCAGAGCAAAGCAGGAUCUUCUACGGCAGACAAAGUCUUGGCAAGAUGGUAAAUAUUGGGAGAACUAGUACA